rnacentral:rRNA from 1 species
GAUGAACGCUGGCUACAGGCUUAACACAUGCAAGUCGAGGGGAAACGGCGUUGAGUGCUCGCACUCUUCGGACGUCGACCGGCGCACGGGUGAGUAACGCGUAUCCCACCUUCCCGUCACUGCGGGAUAACCUGCCGAAAGGCAGACUAAUACCGCAUGGCCUUCACUGACGGCAUCCGAGGUGAAGUAAAGCUUUUUUGCGGUGACGGACGGGGAUGCGUCUGAUUAGCUUGUUGGCGGGGCGACGGCCCACCAAGGCGACGAUCAGUAGGGGUUCUGAGAGGAAGGUCCCCCACAUUGGAACUGAGACACGGUCCAAACUCCUACGGGAGGCAGCAGUGAGGAAUAUUGGUCAAUGGGCGGAAGCCUGAACCAGCCAAGUAGCGUGCAGGACGACGGCCCUACGGGUUGUAAACUGCUUUUAUGCGGGGAUAAAGUGAGGGACGCGUCCCUUUUUGCAGGUACCGCAUGAAUAAGGACCGGCUAAUUCCGUGCCAGCAGCCGCGGUAAUACGGAAGGUCCGGGCGUUAUCCGGAUUUAUUGGGUUUAAAGGGAGCGUAGGCCGGGGAUUAAGUGUGUUGUGAAAUGUAGGCGCUCAACGUCUGAUGUGCAGCGCAUACUGGUUCGCUUGAGUACGCGCAACGCCGGCGGAUUCGUCGUGUAGCGGUGAAAUGCUUAGAUAUGACGAAGAACCCCGAUUGCGAAGACAGCCGGCGGGGAGCGCAACUGACGCUGAAGCUCGAAGUGUGCGGGUAUCGAACAGG